rnacentral:lncRNA from 1 species
GGAUCAAAAUGAGAGGCAAAUCAGUCGUAAGUACGGCCACGGAAGUUGACAAGCAAGUACAGAGGCACCGCAACAAUUAGAACCAAGAGAAUGACAAAAAAUCUGGCGACAGGAUUGUUGAGGUAUUUAAAAAUAAACGAGACUUGAUUCUUGAGCAAAGGGAUGUCGAAUUCCUCCUCUUCGAGGGAUCCGGUUCUCAAGUGGUGACGAUGGUGACUAAACUUGAAUGAAAAAUAAGGAAACAGGACGAGAGAGUGUGUGAGGAAUCCGACUGUAUCGUCGAGCCAUUUGUAGUCGCUGAAUGCCCCGUGCCCACAUUCGUGACCUAUGACCCAAAAUCGAGCAAGUAUGCAUCCUUGAAGCAAUGAAUAUAUAAUCCAACAAGUAAGAAAAUAUAAUUUGGAUGACUUGACUACUUCCGAUGUUAAGAUAUAGGUUGCGGCAAUGUAGUAAAGAGAGAAAGAAAUGAAGAGAUCUAAGGCGAGAUAUGACAAAGAGCGAAUAGCCGAACGCUGAAAACAAUGUGGUGGAACUGCUUUCUUGACAUCACUUAGAGUGAAUGGAGGUUUGGUGUGGGGAGAUCUUAAUGUUCUUUUCACGCUACAAUCCGAUUUUCGGUCCAUUUGGUAUCUGCAAAGUAGCAAUGAUACAAAGAGCUUGAUGAGUUGAAAGAAUUGGAAGAGAAUGUGAUGAAGUUGCAAAUGCAGAGGAAAGCGGAAUGGAUAUAUAGGCACUGGAUGGGCACCAACUCCAUGAAUUAAGUAGCAGGAAAGUCAUAUGGAAGCCAUCACGUAAGAAGUAGUUUUCCUCGUUUUCUUUCCCAGUCACAUGUCAAUUGUACAGCAAGUAAGAAUGUUUUUGUCUUGUUAGAAAAGAGAAUGAUUUUUCAUCUUAGUCGCCUACUUGCUUUAAUUCUGCGCUGAACAUAGCCUAAUUGUCAUAAUCCAUUCAUUAUCGAUGGCUAAGUGACCACUUGACUAACAAAUUAAUAUUCCUGUCCAAAGAAAAAAGAAACAAUAGCACUUAGUAUUCACCAGCCGUCAUAACCUAAAAAACUUGCGCGGACAUCUUUCUCAUUGUUAGUUAAAUAUACUCCACAUCCUGUUUCAAAUACUUCACUCUUUAUUUUCUGGCACACUAUUCUAAGAAAUUUGACUGCAUAAUUACAAAUUUUAUUUUUUAAAGUUUACUUUUUUCAAUAAAAUUAUGAAAUUUGUACUUUAACUCGCAACAAAAAAAAAUUAAAAAUAUUAACUGAACUGCCGUCAAUGAACUAAAAAUGUGUGCAUAAAAGUCAAACGUCAAAUAUUUGAACAAAAGAAGUAAAAACUAAUUUAUUGAAUUAAAUAUGUGUGAAGCUUAAUUGUUCCCGAUGACGUUUUAUUUAACAAAUAUAUACAGAGGAAAAAAAUGUCAAAUAAAUGACCACGUUAAGUUGUCUAGUAAUAGUUAUAUUAUGGGUCAAAACUUAAUUAAUUUGAAUAAUUUAGCCGUGAGUAGUGUUGGAGGGUGUUUGUUAUUUGGAAGUCCAUUUCAAAUUCAGAAUUCGAUAUAAUGACAUGUUUGUUCUUGAAUAUAUUAAAAAAUUAGAUUAUAUUUAAAAGCUCAGACAUUCUAUAUUAAUCUAAACUUGAAAUUUUGAAAUGUAGAACUCAAAUUUUCACAUGUGAAAUCGAAGGUUUGAAAUGUAAAUAUUUCUGGACACCAAAUACACUCCAGUGUAAUUGAUCCAUCUUAGUUUGACUCUUUUCUUUGAUGUCCUUUUUAAUGUAGAAUGGAAGAAUAAGGAUUCAUAUCUGCAAUUUUUAGUAACCCUACAUAUGCAAUUAUAAGUACAACUUUGAAAAAAAUAAUUGAAAAUUAUAUUUAAUACAAAAUAAGUUGCAAAUUGUUGCAAAUGGUGAAAAAUGAGUGCCCCUACAAGACCAGCCUUAAUAUCACGAAAGAAACUACAAAAUCAACUAAAACCAAUCAAACUCCUUCACUACUAACACAUCAACAAGCCACAUCCAACCACCAAAACUCUCCCUCAUCAACACCCGUUGCAUCCACUUCUCCACUUCCAUCUGCUACGACAUCUCCACCAUCUUAAUCAAUUCAGGGGCGUCGUCGUCUCCGCCGAUACCAAUCAAUCCUCCUCUACCAGUAACACCUUCCUUUCCAUCAUCACCGCCGCCCGCCGCACCCGGCUCAACUCCGACCAUCAUGUCUCCUCAGUGAUAUCCCGAUCUCAGUCGUCUCUCUGCUCCACCGUGAUAGGGGCAGUGACAUCAAAAAAAAUUAUUGUUAUACUUUAAGAUAGGAAUAAAAAAUCGUAUUAUUGAAAGAAUAAUAAACUGAGCAGGCAUAAAUAUUGAAAGAGAAACAAUGAAGAUGUAUUUUUACAAAUAAAAUAGAGAGACCACGUACACAAUUUUCCUAAAAAUUACUCAUAAGACAUAAAUUAUCAAUAAAUCAUUUUUAUUUUCAUUAUUAUAUUUUUAGUAACUCGUAAUCAUUAAUAUGUAAAAAUUAUCUAAACAGAUAUUUUAAACUCUCAGCUUAUCAUAUAACUCAUGUUAAAUCAUAAGUCAUUUUAAGUUAUAAGCUCAGUCAAAUGGGCUCUAAGUAACCAUAAAAUUGAAAAAAUAUUCUUUUUUUUAUUUUAUUAAUUAUUAUGCGUCCGGAAUAAAGGAGUUAACGCAAUAACUUAAACAAUAUGCAACAUAGACCAUAUGAUUUACGUCGAUUUUUUUAGCAACAUCCACACCGAUAGAAAAUUUAUAUUAAUCACCAAUCGACGUUAAUGACAGUUAUAUGUGUCGUUUAAUUCAUGUCUUACGGUCUAUAACCAACGCAGCUAUAAUAAAAGUAACAACGAUGACCCAUAUCUUUAGUAACACUGCCAAUAUUCACUACAAGGAAAAAGGGUAAUUUCGACCGUUUUUUUCGACCGAAACCUUUUAUUAUAGCUGCGUUGGUUGUAAAAUAAGUGGUCGAAAUUAAUUAAUUCGACCGUAUAUGAUCGAAAAUAAAACCGGUCGAAAAUAGCCGGUCGAAAAAAAGUUGUUUUCGACGCGUGCAUUCGACCGGUCCCUCCAUUUUAUUCUCGUCAUGGUUUUGGUCGAAAAUAACCUCCGGUUGAAAAUAUUUCGUGGGCGGGAAAAUUGCCGCACUUUUGAAUUUGAAUUUUUUUAGUACGUGUCGCCCGUUUUCGGUCGAAAUAUAAUUUCGACCGAAUUUGGUCGAAAAUAUAAAUGCGACUGUAUCUGGUCGAAGGUAUGAAUUCGACCAUAUCUGGUCGAAAUCAUAAAUUCGACCGCUGUUGGUCGAAAAUAUAAAUGCGACCGUAUCUAGUCGAAGGUGUAAAUUCGACCAAAUAUGGUCGCAAUUACAAAUUUGACCGAAUUUGGUCGAAAGUAUAAAUUCGACCAGAUACGAUCGAAUAUAUGCGCAUAAAAAUAAUACCACACCCCCUUUCCUUUCCAGUAGCCGUUGUCCAACUUAGCUUUCCUCCAUUCCCUCUCUCUUUUUGCACCCCAAGUUCAUGAAUUUCAUAUGAAAUCAUCAUAAAUCAUCAAGUAAGUAAUCUUUUUUAGUCACUUAAUAUCUAUAUAUGUACUUAUCUUUGUCAAUUAUUGUAAUUGUAGAAUUUUUUUUCAUAUAUUUAUGACUUUUCAUGUUUCUAUAGUUAUGAUAUAUUUGCACAUUUUAAUUAGGGUAUUUUUGUUGAAAUGCUUUAAAAUAAAUUCAAUGUAUGUAUUUCUUGUAGAUGGCAUCUGAUCGUAGUUGGAUUAGUCGUAGUCGAUAUAACGAGUCAAGAUAUUUAACGAACGAAUACAAAAAUGGUGUUGAAGAUUUCAUUAAAUUUGCUUGUGAGAAUAUUCGUGAAAGAAAUGGUGGGGUUAUUAGGUGUCCGUGUGGACAUUGUAAAAAUAAGCACUACAAGACUCCUAUUGUCGUUAAACUUGAUUUGUAUCGGUAUGGUAUGAUGCAAUGGUAUACCAUAUGGACUGCACAUGGGGAGGAAAUGCCGGCAGAAAAUAUCGGGACGAGUAGUAGAAAUGUUGGUGAUGGGGAUGAUGAUAUGUAUUAUGACGCCGAUGAUAUGUUAAGAGAUUUUGGGGAGGCAAAUAAGUAGUGUGAGUAUGUGGAGGAUGAACCGAAUCCAGACGCCAAAGAAUUUUAUAAGAUGCUGCAUAGUGCUUCGGAACCGAUUUAUCCAAAUAAUGUCAACUAUACAACCUUUGAGUUCGUGAAUGAGUUACUUCAUUUCAAGAACAAGCAUAAUUGUAGUAACAAUGGCUUUGAUGAGUUGCUUAAGCUCAUUGGAUCAGUCUUGCCUGACAAUCAUAAACUGCCCCAAACCUACUAUGCUGUGAAAAAUAUGCUUAAAGGAUUGAAUUUGGGAUAUGAAAAGAUUGAUGCUUGUGAGAAUGACUGUAUGUUAUUUUACAAGGAAAAUAGCGAGAAGAUGCGUUGUGACAUAUGCAAUGAAAGUCGAUACAAAGAACCAAAAGAUCUUAACAAAAAAAAGAUCCCACGGAAAGUCUUGCACUAUUUUCCUUUUACCUCGAGACUGCAACGUUUGUUCAUGGCUGGGAAGACUGCAAAAUGUAUGAGAUGGCAUCAUAACAGAAAUGUGGUUGAAGGUGAAUUAAGUCACCCGGCAGAUGGAGAUGAGUGGAAACAAUUUGACUGCAGGUUUCCAAAAUUUUCAAAAGAGAUUCGAAAUGUGAGACUCGGACUUUCUUCUGAUGGAUUUGAUCCCUUUCGUGAUGCACAUGCGAGAGAUUAUACAGUAUGGCCUAUGGUGGUUGUUGUUUACAACCUUCCCCCAUCUAUGUGCACGAAAGCUCCGUACAUGUUUAUGCCUCUUCUUAUUCCCGGGCCUAAGGAUCCAACGAAAGACUUGCUUGUUUAUCUUAGACCAUUGAUUGAUAAAUUGAGAGAUUUAUGGCAGAAUGGGGUGGAAACCUAUGAUAGGUUCUCACGUUCCAACUUUUUGAUGAGAGCAGCAUUGAUGUGGACAAUUAGCGACUUUCCUGCACUUGCCAUGCUUAGCGGGUGGUCGACUAAGGGGAAGUUGUCAUGUCCAGUUUGCAUGGGAGAGGUAAAGGCCAAACAACUCAAGUAUGGUGGCAAAGUUACCUUUUAUGGCACUUCUAGAUAUUUUUUAGAACCGGAUGAUCCAUUAAGAAGAAGUACGAGAUUUGGAAGUGUUGAGACACGAUCAUGCACAUGUCGUCAUUCAGGAAUAAUUGCAAAGACCAUGUGUGAGCAUAAACAAUUCCCCCCUCCAGGAAAGUCAUCUAAGAAGAAAGCAAAAGAUUAUGGUGUGACACAUAAUUGGAUCCACUUUUCCCCAUUUUUUGAGCUUCCGUAUUGGGAGACCCUUAGUCUUCGUCAUAACAUCGAUAUCAUGCACACGGAGAAAAAUGUUUUUGACAACAUAUUCUACAUGAUUCUUGAUGAUAAGCAAAAGUCAAAAGAUAGUAGGUCAGAUUCAAUUGUCGAAGUUGCCAAUACAGUUGGAAAAUGCAGUAGAACUUGUUUCUUAGUGUGUAAGUUGUGGUCAGAUUCAAUUGUCGAAGUUGAAAACCAGUCAACUAUUUUUAUAUCAACUUUUGUUUUAAUAGAAGUAUUUACCACCGUAUUUAAAAGUUUAACCAAAGUGACUUUUAAAUUUUCAGAUGUGCUAUUACUUUUAAGUUUAAUAGAUUGACUAGAAUUUUUAUAUGGAUACGAUGAUAUGUUCUGUUACGUCUGACCCAUGUGUCAAAUCUGAACAAGUAUUAGCAUAUACCUGAUAUAUAUCUGGUCUUAGCCAUUGUUAUAAGUUUUAAUUUCUUAUCAAUGUCGAUUGCAACUACCUUUUACUGGUCAAUACAUAUAGGGUGAUUAUGGAACUUGAUUCAAGGUAUAUGAUUGUCCUAUGUAGAUUCGGCUAAACCAGGGGCUGGUAAGGGACGGAGUGGCACAAUCAAUGGAGAGGGAGAGCGUGGUGAUGGGCACUCCAUCACUAAACGGAGUAAAAGAAAGAAUGACAAGGACAGAUAAGAAGAAGUUCCACACAUGGAAGAAGAUUUCAGUGAUGGAGAAAGCUUUCUUGAAGGUUUCGAGGCGGGAGAAACUAGCAACAAAAUAAAAUUCGAGAGGAAGGCACGGGAUACUAACCAAGGUGACUAUGCGACUAAACCGGAUCCAAAUGCAAAGCAGAUCUUACAUUUUAAUGCCAAAAGAACAGGGUACAUUUUACUCAUUUUUUUAGUUGUCUUGUUCUACAAUUACAUUUGCAUUUCUGUAGAAGUGUAUAAGUUGUUUUAUCCUGUUGUGUUGGUGGGAAUUUAAUUCUUGUUUUAUGCAGCAUACUUGAUAAGGAGAAUAAGAACACUUUGGGCUACAUUGCUAAAGAGCUAUGGAAUGAGAAAACUGUUUUUGACAAGGGAGCCAAGCGUGAACGUUUUUACAACAAUUGCAUCAAAAUUUUGAAAGUAAGAUUUACUUCUAUUUUUUCAAUUUUUUCCAUCGAUGUAAAACUUUAAUAUGUCUGUGUGCUAAUUAUGUGCGAGAAGAUACACCUUUGAAUUUUAUUUUUUAUUUUGAUAUACUAAACUAUGUCCACGAUAAUCACUAAAUUUAAUAGCUAUGUAAGUUACAUCUGGCCACCAUUGCUUUUUGUUGCUUUAUGUUAACUUAGACAUAUUUUAUGAUUUUGCCUACAGACUUAUUACACAUAUCAAGAUGGAUAUACAACCGAGGAGGGGGACAGUAUUUGUCGAAAGCAUCUACACAGAAAUUUCAAGUCGGCUCUUAAUAAAAUAAAGACCCGACGUGAUACAAAGAUGUCCGCUCUUAAGGAUGCUGGAUACAAUAAUAAUAAAAUACCUUGGGACUUGUGCAAGCCUCAUUAUUUCUCUUCUGAGGUAUGGCAAUCUCUUUUGAAAUAUUAGAAUUUGGCCGACACCAAGAAAAGGUCAAAAUAUGCAAAGGAAGCACGGAAAAAGCUACAAUGUCACUCGCGCACAGGGGCAAUGUCGUAUGAUGUGAGACGCGAGGUAUACUACUAUUUUUCUAUUAGUUUCCAUGUUCUUUUUAUUUGUAUCACCUGUCAAGUAAAUUGGUGCACUAAUUUUAAAUUUUUUUAUAUUUGCUCGGAAGAAAAUUGAUAAAGAAAGAGAGGCGAAAGGCUUGCCACCACUAACACAUUUAGAGUUUGUGGAUUAUGUAUAUAAUCCUAAUGAACCAGCGGUGAAAGAACUGAAGGUUUGUUUUACUAGUGUUGUGCAGUGCGCACUUUAUAUUCUGUAUCAUUUGUAGAUGAUUGGCAAUUAUGCAAAUGAAUCUUACUGUUGAAUUCUUGCUUGUUAUAUUGUAGGAGAAAAUGAUUGAGGUUGAGUCUUCUAUGCCUCCAUUGCCUGAAGAUGGUGAAAGAGUUUCUACAGAAAUUAAGCAAAAGCGAGAUCUGUUGGUGUUGCUAAAGGGUAAACCUCCUAGGAAAGGGAAACUGAGUCUUUUUCCCGGAGUUAUAUCGGACUCACUACAUCCGGGCAGCUAGGGGAUUAAUUCCCAAAAUUCUCAUUGAUAAUGACAAGGUCAUUAUAAAGGUAUGUGCCCCCAGCUUAGCGACAAUAAACCUAGCUUUCCAUAUUUUUGUCUUUCUUUCUGCACUUAGUAUUUCUUUUUCAAUAUGCAAAUAAUUCUUCAUGCUUGUGCAUUGACAUUUUUAUUAAUUAACUGUAUCUUUUAAUAUCCGUACAACAUAUAUCAUUUCAUCAUGUGAACUUGAGUACAUUAGUAAAUAUAAUAAAUAUAAUAUUAAGUUUCUUGCUCUAUUGUCCAACUUGUUCACCUACUGUUCGUGCCUCAUCUUACAUAAUAAAUAUGAGAUUAACUACUCUGCUUACGCAUUGAUGGUGUGAAACAGUGUGUGUGUGUGUGUGUGUGUGUGUGUGUGUGUGUGUGUGUGUUUGUUUGUGAGAUGAAUCUAGUUUAUUGAAUUCACAUUNUGAAAAUAUUUCGUGGGCGGGAAAAUUGCCGCACUUUUGAAUUUGAAUUUUUUUAGUACGUGUCGCCCGUUUUCGGUCGAAAUAUAAUUUCGACCGAAUUUGGUCGAAAAUAUAAAUGCGACUGUAUCUGGUCGAAGGUAUGAAUUCGACCAUAUCUGGUCGAAAUCAUAAAUUCGACCGCUGUUGGUCGAAAAUAUAAAUGCGACCGUAUCUAGUCGAAGGUGUAAAUUCGACCAAAUAUGGUCGCAAUUACAAAUUUGACCGAAUUUGGUCGAAAGUAUAAAUUCGACCAGAUACGAUCGAAUAUAUGCGCAUAAAAAUAAUACCACACCCCCUUUCCUUUCCAGUAGCCGUUGUCCAACUUAGCUUUCCUCCAUUCCCUCUCUCUUUUUGCACCCCAAGUUCAUGAAUUUCAUAUGAAAUCAUCGUGUGUGUGUGUGUGUGUGUGUGUGUGUGUGUGUGUGUGUGUUUGUUUGUGAGAUGAAUCUAGUUUAUUGAAUUCACAUUAUGAAGAUAAUAUGUUUGAAUCUGGAUUGUUUUGGGUUGUGUGAUUAGAUGGGGAUCAUAAUUUCCUUAUGAAAUGUCAAUGUUGGAAUGCUGGUUUGUUUGUUUUUCUGUGUCGGUGGAUUUAGUUGUUUUGUGUUUUUCGUGAUCACGGCAUCUCUUGGUCAUGUGGCUUUGUUUGGAGUUUCUUUAUGUUGCUAUGGAUCUGAAUCUGUUAAGUUCUACUAUUUACUUUUGAUCUGAUUGUGUUUCCAUUGGUUUGAUUUGAUCGAUAUUCCAGUUGUAGUAUGGGCAACGCUUCUCCUUUACUAGUUGAUUAGUUCAAUCUUCUUUUAAUGUGCUCUAUGAUUGCAAGUUAUUCCUAUGAUUUUAGUUCUUGGUUUAGUCAAGUGGCAUAGAAGAAGAUUGAUUUUAAUGCUUCAGUUCUCAUCUUAAUUAAGUGGAAUAGUACUGGAAUCUUAACUCCAUCGCUCUCAUUGAUAAUGAGUUGGAUCAAAAGUAUUAAAUGGUGAUUGGUAACUGCCUGUCUGUAAUAUCUAUGUUUUAAUUUGAACAUAUAUCCUACCGGCCUUUUGGUAGCAUUGUAAGUUCUCAGUUUUUUGUUUCAGUUGGCACACUUCUGUAUCUGAAGUUUUCAUAACGUUUGCUACUUACUAAAAGAUCAUUUCUUUUCAAGACUCUUGCCAACAUAAUAUCAUUAUAUCAUAAGAUCCAGAAACCUUUAAACAUUCACAAAUGGUCAACGUUAAUGUUAGCCAUGAGAUUAGUUCAAUCUUCUUUUAAUGUGCUCCAUUUUUUAUUUGUCUAUUUAUUUUGUGUUUUAACUACUAUUGGCUUAUUUUUUUUAACUAAUCAGUUUUAACCUGUAUCUAUGUUUUAACUAAUUUAUGUUCUUUUAACAGUCUAGUCAGCUAGAGCCGGCGGGGAAGGAGAAGGAGCCUAGUCAGCUAGAGCCAGUAGCGAAGGGGAAGGAGAUUUCAAUGGNAUUAUGACGCCGAUGAUAUGUUAAGAGAUUUUGGGGAGGCAAAUAAGUAGUGUGAGUAUGUGGAGGAUGAACCGAAUCCAGACGCCAAAGAAUUUUAUAAGAUGCNGUAUAGGCAGCUGUGAAUGAGGUAGUUUCCUGGAAUUUGACAAAUAUUUAACUUAUGUUUUGGUUGAUGCCAGUGAUGGAAAUAUCACUUAUAUAUAUUUUGUCGAUAACAAGUAACAUAUAACUUGUAUUUUGGAUUAUGGAUUGCAAUGGCAGUGUGCCUCUUAAGCCUUUAUUUUAUGUCAGGGGGGUUUGGAUGUAGAAUUUGUUUUAAAAUUAUUGUUUGUUGGAUAUUUCAAUUCUUGGAUUUGUACAGGUAGGAAGAGGUAUGCACAAACUGAAUUAUUUUUAUAAUUGCAUAAUAAAUUCGACCGGAAAAAAUGAAGUUUGGAAAUAAUUUUCAGCAAAUUGCAUAAUAAAUACGACUGGAAAAAUUAAAUGGUCAAAUAAUUUCGACCACAAAAUUGCGGCAAGAAAUUGGCGGGAGUUUUAAAAAGCGGUCGAAAUUAUUAAUUCGACCGCAAUUUCAAAUUUUGAGCGGCAUUCCAAAUUUUCAAAAUUUUCAAAGUCAAAUUGUCGUGGGGAAUUGUUCGACCGUAUUUGGUCGAAAUUAGCCGGUCGAAAUCCGAAUUUCGACUACGUUAUCUUUGACCGGUUUUUUCGGUCGAAAAUAGUUAUUUUAGACUGUUUAUGGUCGAAAAUAACUAUUUUCGACCGUAUUCUGGCGGUCGAAAUAAGCCGCUUUUCUUGUAGUGAUUAUGUCGAAAAAUUAGAUGGUGACCUAAUAGCUGAAUUUGUACUCUAAUGCAAUUUACUGUUAUAUCUAUGUAAAGAAAAUUUUUAUAAAUCAAAGUGGAGUAUAAUUCUACAUGUUAUUACAUCAACCAAUAAUAAUUAAAUAAUUAUAGUACAACUUUAUUAACAAUCAUACUACAACGCAAGUAAAAUGAAUGCUUUUGAAUAGAAAAAGCAACUUAUAAGCUCUGGGGCUGAUUCUCCAUACUGGGGAGAGGCCAACUCUCGCAACUCAGAACUUGUUGUUAUACCAAUAAACCCCUUUGUUUUGCUCAUCUUCCUCGACGUAGACACAAUCUUUUAGAGUACUCCACAGUGAUUUAUAGAAUGGGGUGUAAUCAUACUGAUAGUACUCCCCCAAUAUANUAUGCCUCUUCUUAUUCCCGGGCCUAAGGAUCCAACGAAAGACUUGCUUGUUUAUCUUAGACCAUUGAUUGAUAAAUUGAGAGAUUUAUGGCAGAAUGGGGUGGAAACCUAUGAUAGGUUCUCACGUUCCAACUUUUUGAUGAGAGCAGCAUUGAUGUGGACAAUUAGCGACUUUCCUGCACUUGCCAUGCUUAGCGGGUGGUCGACUAAGGGGAAGUUGUCAUGUCCAGUUUGCAUGGGAGAGGUAAAGGCCAAACAACUCAAGUAUGGUGGCAAAGUUACCUUUUAUGGCACUUCUAGAUAUUUUUUAGAACCGGAUGAUCCAUUAAGAAGAAGUACGAGAUUUGGAAGUGUUGAGACACGAUCAUGCACAUGUCGUCAUUCAGGAAUAAUUGCAAAGACCAUGUGUGAGCAUAAACAAUUCCCCCCUCCAGGAAAGUCAUCUAAGAAGAAAGCAAAAGAUUAUGGUGUGACACAUAAUUGGAUCCACUUUUCCCCAUUUUUUGAGCUUCCGUAUUGGGAGACCCUUAGUCUUCGUCAUAACAUCGAUAUCAUGCACACGGAGAAAAAUGUUUUUGACAACAUAUUCUACACGAUUCUUGAUGAUAAGCAAAAGUCAAAAGAUANNNNNNNNNNNNNNNNNNNNNNNNNNNNNNNNNNNNNNNNNNNNNNNNNNNNNNNNNNNNNNNNNNNNNNNNNNNNNNNNNNNNNNNNNNNNNNNNNNNNNNNNNNNNNNNNNNNNNNNNNNNNNNNNNNNNNNNNNNNNNNNNNNNNNNNNNNNNNNNNNNNNNNNNNNNNNNNNNNNNNNNNNNNNNNNNNNNNNNNNNNNNNNNNNNNNNNNNNNNNNNNNNNNNNNNNNNNNNNNNNNNNNNNNNNNNNNNNNNNNNNNNNNNNNNNNNNNNNNNNNNNNNNNNNNNNNNNNNNNNNNNNNNNNNNNNNNNNNNNNNNNNNNNNNNNNNNNNNNNNNNNNNNNNNNNNNUGCAUAGUGCUUCGGAACCGAUUUAUCCAAAUAAUGUCAACUAUACAACCUUUGAGUUUGUGAACGAGUUACUUCAUUUCAAGAACAAGCAUAAUUGUAGUAACAAUGGCUUUGAUGAGUUUCUUAAGCUCAUUGGAUCAGUCUUGCCUGCCAAUCAUAAACUGCCCCAAACCUACUAUGCUGUGAAAAAUAUGCUUAAAGGAUUGAAUUUGGGAUAUGAAAAGAUUGAUGCUUGUGAGAAUGACUGUAUGUUAUUUUACAAGGAAAAUAGCGAGAAGAUGCGUUGUGACAUAUGCAAUGAAAGUCGAUACAAAGAACCAAAAGAUCUUAACAAAAAAAGAUCCCACGGAAAGUCUUGCGCUAUUUUCCUCUUACCCCGAGACUGCAACGUUUGUUCAUGGCUGGGAAGACUACAAAAUGUAUGAGAUGGCAUCAUGACAAAAAUGUGGUUGAAGGUGAAUUAAGUCACCCGGCAGAUGGAGAUGAGUGGAAACAAUUUGACUGCAGGUUUCCAAAAUUUUCAAAAGAGAUUCGAAAUGUGAGACUCGGACUUUCUUCUGAUGGAUUUGAUCCCUUUCGUGAUGCACAUGCGAGAGAUUAUACAGUAUGGCCCGUGGUGGUUGUUGUUUACAACCUUCCCCCAUCUAUGUGCACGAAGGCUCCGUACAUGUUUAUGCCUCUUCUUAUUCCCGGGCCUAAGGAUCCAACGAAAGACUUGCAUGUUUAUCUUAGACCAUUGAUUGAUGAAUUGAGAGAUUUAUGGCAGAAUGGGGUGGAAACCUAUAAUAGGUUCUCACGUUCUAACUUUUUGAUGAGAGCAGCAUUGAUGUGGACAAUUAGCGACUUUCCUGCACUUGCCAUGCUUAGUUGGCUCUUAAUAAAAUAAAGACCCGACGUGAUACAAAGAUGUCCGCUCUUAAGGAUGCUGGAUACAAUGAUAAUGAAAUACCUUGGGACUUGUGCAAGCCUCAUUAUUUCUCUUCUGAGGUAUGGCAAUCUCUUUUGAAAUAUUGGAAUUUGGCCGACACCAAGAAAAGGUCAAAAUAUGCAAAGGAAGCACGGAAAAAGCUACAAUGUCACUCGCGCACAGGGGCAAUGUCGUAUGAUGUGAGACGCGAGGUAUACUACUAUUUUUCUAUUAGUUUCCAUGUUCUUUUUAUUUGUAUCACCUGUCAAGUAAAUUGGUGCACUAAUUUUAAAUUUUUUUAUAUUUGCUCGGAAGAAAAUUGAUAAAGAAAGAGAGGCGAAAGGCUUGCCACCACUAACACAUUUAGAGUUUGUGGAUUAUGUAUAUAAUCCUAAUGAACCAGCGGUGAAAGAACUGAAGGUUUGUUUUACUAGUGUUGUGCAGUGCGCACUUUAUAUUCUGUAUCAUUUGUAGAUGAUUGGCAAUUAUGCAAAUGAAUCUUACUGUUGAAUUCUUGCUUGUUAUAUUGUAGGAGAAAAUGAUUGAGGUUGAGUCUUCUAUGCCUCCAUUGCCUGAAGAUGGUGAAAGAGUUUCUACAGAAAUUAAGCAAAAGCGAGAUCUGUUGGUGUUGCUAAAGGGUAAACCUCCUAGGAAAGGGAAACUGAGUCUUUUUCCCGGAGUUAUAUCGGACUCACUACAUCCGGGCAGCUAGGGGAUUAAUUCCCAAAAUUCUCAUUGAUAAUGACAAGGUCAUUAUAAAGGUAUGUGCCCCCAGCUUAGCGACAAUAAACCUAGCUUUCCAUAUUUUUGUCUUUCUUUCUGCACUUAGUAUUUCUUUUUCAAUAUGCAAAUAAUUCUUCAUGCUUGUGCAUUGACAUUUUUAUUAAUUAACUGUAUCUUUUAAUAUCCGUACAACAUAUAUCAUUUCAUCAUGUGAACUUGAGUACAUUAGUAAAUAUAAUAAAUAUAAUAUUAAGUUUCUUGCUCUAUUGUCCAACUUGUUCACCUACUGUUCGUGCCUCAUCUUACAUAAUAAAUAUGAGAUUAACUACUCUGCUUACGCAUUGAUGGUGUGAAACAGUGUGUGUGUGUGUGUGUGUGUGUGUGUGUGUGUGUGUGUGUGUUUGUUUGUGAGAUGAAUCUAGUUUAUUGAAUUCACAUUAUGAAGAUAAUAUGUUUGAAUCUGGAUUGUUUUGGGUUGUGUGAUUAGAUGUGGAUCAUAAUUUCAUUUUGAAAUGUCAAUGUUGAAAUGCUGGUUUGUUUGUUUUUCUGUGUCGGUGGAUUUAGUUGUUUUGUGUUUUUCGUGAUCACGGCAUCUCUUGGUCAUGUGGCUUUGUUUGGAGUUUCUUUAUGUUGCUAUGGAUCUGAAUCUGUUAAGUUCUACUAUUUACUUUUGAUCUGAUUGUGUUUCCAUUGGUUUGAUUUGAUCGAUAUUCCAGUUGUAGUAUGGGCAACGCUUCUCCUUUACUAGUUGAUUAGUUCAAUCUUCUUUUAAUGUGCUCUAUGAUUGCAAGUUAUUCCUAUGAUUUUAGUUCUUGGUUUAGUCAAGUGGCAUAGAAGAAGAUUGAUUUUAAUGCUUCAGUUCUCAUCUUAAUUAAGUGGAAUAGUACUGGAAUCUUAACUCCAUCGCUCUCAUUGAUAAUGAGUUGGAUCAAAAGUAUUAAAUGGUGAUUGGUAACUGCCUGUCUGUAAUAUCUAUGUUUUAAUUUGAACAUAUAUCCUACCGGCCUUUUGGUAGCAUUGUAAGUUCUCAGUUUUUUGUUUCAGUUGGCACACUUCUGUAUCUGAAGUUUUCAUAACGUUUGCUACUUACUAAAAGAUCAUUUCUUUUCAAGACUCUUGCCAACAUAAUAUCAUUAUAUCAUAAGAUCCAGAAACCUUUAAACAUUCACAAAUGGUCAACGUUAAUGUUAGCCAUGAGAUUAGUUCAAUCUUCUUUUAAUGUGCUCCAUUUUUUAUUUGUCUAUUUAUUUUGUGUUUUAACUACUAUUGGCUUAUUUUUUUUAACUAAUCAGUUUUAACCUGUAUCUAUGUUUUAACUAAUUUAUGUUCUUUUAACAGUCUAGUCAGCUAGAGCCGGCGGGGAAGGAGAAGGAGCCUAGUCAGCUAGAGCCAGUAGCGAAGGGGAAGGAGAUUUCAAUGGUAGAGGUUACUGGGUUCGAAGACGAAGGGGAGUUUGAUGUUAAUGCUUAUUUAUACCCUUUAUCUUAGUAUAGGCAGCUGUGAAUGAGGUAGUUUCCUGGAAUUUGACAAAUAUUUAACUUAUGUUUUGGUUGAUGCCAGUGAUGGAAAUAUCACUUAUAUAUAUUUUGUCGAUAACAAGUAACAUAUAACUUGUAUUUUGGAUUAUGGAUUGCAAUGGCAGUGUGCCUCUUAAGCCUUUAUUUUAUGUCAGGGGGGUUUGGAUGUAGAAUUUGUUUUAAAAUUAUUGUUUGUUGGAUAUUUCAAUUCUUGGAUUUGUACAGGUAGGAAGAGGUAUGCACAAACUGAAUUAUUUUUAUAAUUGCAUAAUAAAUUCGACCGGAAAAAAUGAAGUUUGGAAAUAAUUUUCAGCAAAUUGCAUAAUAAAUACGACUGGAAAAAUUAAAUGGUCAAAUAAUUUCGACCACAAAAUUGCGGCAAGAAAUUGGCGGGAGUUUUAAAAAGCGGUCGAAAUUAUUAAUUCGACCGCAAUUUCAAAUUUUGAGCGGCAUUCCAAAUUUUCAAAAUUUUCAAAGUCAAAUUGUCGUGGGGAAUUGUUCGACCGUAUUUGGUCGAAAUUAGCCGGUCGAAAUCCGAAUUUCGACUACGUUAUCUUUGACCGGUUUUUUCGGUCGAAAAUAGUUAUUUUAGACUGUUUAUGGUCGAAAAUAACUAUUUUCGACCGUAUUCUGGCGGUCGAAAUAAGCCGCUUUUCUUGUAGUGAUUAUGUCGAAAAAUUAGAUGGUGACCUAAUAGCUGAAUUUGUACUCUAAUGCAAUUUACUGUUAUAUCUAUGUAAAGAAAAUUUUUAUAAAUCAAAGUGGAGUAUAAUUCUACAUGUUAUUACAUCAACCAAUAAUAAUUAAAUAAUUAUAGUACAACUUUAUUAACAAUCAUACUACAACGCAAGUAAAAUGAAUGCUUUUGAAUAGAAAAAGCAACUUAUAAGCUCUGGGGCUGAUUCUCCAUACUGGGGAGAGGCCAACUCUCGCAACUCAGAACUUGUUGUUAUACCAAUAAACCCCUUUGUUUUGCUCAUCUUCCUCGACGUAGACACAAUCUUUUAGAGUACUCCACAGUGAUUUAUAGAAUGGGGUGUAAUCAUACUGAUAGUACUCCCCCAAUAUAGGCUUAAAUGCUUUGGUGGCUUCCACUGCAUGGUAAUGUGGCAUUUUCGGAAAGAGAUGAUGUGCUACAUGUGUAUUCGGCUGCUGAUGAAACACCGUGUUGAGAAAUCCAAAAUCACGAUCAAUUGUUGCCAUGGAUCCCUUUAUUUUUUGAGCUUCCGUAUUGGGAGACCCUUAGUCUUCGUCAUAACAUCNAAGAGGGUUUGUGUGUUGAAGUACAGCCACUAUGAUCAGCAUUGCAUUUUGGAAUAGGUAGGGUCCUACGUAAAUAAAACCAAUCCAAGCGAAGCCUUUCAACAGAGCAAGUUUGUAUACUACAUAUAUCACGGCCAAGCAUCCAGCAUCCGAAAGCAAGACUUGAGCACGUUGCUUUCGUGAGAACAUUGGACUAUACGGAUCAAAAUGAGAGGCGAAUCGGUCAUAGGUACGGCCACGGAAGUUGACAAGCAAGUACAGAGGCACCGCAACAAUUAGAACCAGGAUAAUAACAAAAAAUCUUGCGACAGGAUUGUUGAGGUAUUUAAAAAUAAACGAGACUUGAUUCUUGAGCAGAGGGACGUCGAAUUCUUCCUCUUCGAGGGAUCCGGUUCUCAAGUGGUGACGAUGGUGACUAAACUUGAAUGAAAAAUAAGGAAACAGG